rfam:Camelus ferus unplaced genomic scaffold scaffold2807, whole genome shotgun sequence.
GAAGGUACAGCUCAGUGGUAGAGUGAGCACUUAGCAUGCAUAAGGUCCUGGGUUCAAUCCCCAGUACCUCCA